UUGGUCACAUACACAUAUUUAGCAGAUGUUAUUGGUCACAUACACAUAUUUAGCAGAUGUUAUUGGUCACAUACACAUAUUUAGCAGAUGUUAUUGGUCACAUACACAUAUUUAGCAGAUGUUAUUGGUCACAUACACAUAUUUAGCAGAUGUUAUUGGUCACAUACACAUAUUUAGCAGAUGUUAUUGGUCACAUACACAUAUUUAGCAGAUGUUAUUGCAGGUGUAGUGAAAUGCUUGUCCACCCUAGAUCAAUUUGCACUUUCACCUGCUAAGACUCAUGAGCCACCCGCAAUAUGACAGAACACUGCUAUUGAGCCUUUAUUUUUAAUGUAAUUUAUCUAUUAACCAUGCCAAUCGUACAGUAUGGUUAGGCUAUUGUUUAACACUGUUGGCUAAAAAGAUUAUUUACUCUCUGGAAGUGUUGUUUCUACAUAGAGUCUGUGUCAUCAUAGCCGAAACUUAAUUCAAAAUGUAUUGGUGUUACAAAUCAUCCUAAACUACAUUUAUUGAGCUACACAUACACCUUCGGAGGAUUUGAGCGUGACAUUUAAAACAUAACUUAACUGUGACAGUAUACCCCAGAGCUGUUCAUUUGACAGUAAUUGCCCUUGCAGUAGCUGUAAUUUCAAACAGCUGCAAUAAUUGAUUAGUGAAUGUGGGAAAAUAAGUUGCAAACUCUUGUGUCUUAACAAAGUGAUCGGUGAGUAGGAUGUGAUUGUGAUGAAUGAGUAAUAUUCCUCCUGGGGCACCAUUGAAGGAUUGAAAAGAAAGUGAACAACAGCUCACUGUUUGCUACGUUCGAUCGUUAUUAGUGAAUCUCAUUCCAACAUGAGUGCACCGAAUAUGAAUCCCUGAAGUACCACUUACAUAUCAAACAGCUAUAUUACUUCAUAGAAAAUAACGUGUGCUAUUUGAGGAUCAAACAUACUCCAGUAUGUGUACAUAUGUGUAUAUUUGAAAGUCACAGGCACUGAUUCAUACUCAUUCACAGCAUUUUCUUAUUUGUCUUUGGGUUGGAAUGUUUGCUGACUUGGCACAAUGUCACUUCAAAGGAUUGUGUUGAUGUUUCCUAUCAAGUCCUUACUUGUGUGUAAGGAAGGCGGGCCCGAUAAAAGUAUUUCACAAGGUUUGAUAUUGGCACAAGAUGUAAAGCACGCUCCUUCUGUUCGAACCAUAAGGCCUUUUAAUACUGACCAACCAGAGGAACACAUUCAUUUAUUGCUGUGAUAACACCAUCACGACUGGGGUAGGUGGCAUGUAGCUUUGCGGUUAAGAGUCCUGGAGCCGACUAGGUGAAAAAUCUGUUGAUGGACCCUUGAGCAAGGCACUUAACUCUAAUUGCUCUGGAUAAGAGUGUCUUCUGCUAAGUGAUUAAAAUGUAAAAUGGAAAUUGUGCCCUCAAGCACCAGGAAGCCAGAGCAGGGAGGGAAGAGAGGUGCUGCACCAUACACGCCACAAUGACACCUGCAAUUCUAAUUCUGUGUCGAGAGCUCCCCUACACGUUGGGGCUGCACACUUCAAACUCUUUUACUAUUGUUAUUGCAUUGUGUAAAAAAAUCUAUAUUUUCCUACACUCUCUUGUUUUUGUUCCAGACCUACUACCCAGUUAUAUUUAGUCUCUAUAGAACUUUUAAGCUUCAGGCCAAUAACAUGCUUGGUCUUGGGAAGAGAGUAUCUGACCUCCAGAAAAAAAGGUGUCAUAGUGCCACAAAUCUUCACUACUUUGUCCAAUCAUUUUUAUUUGGCUUGUCCCUUCUCCUCUAAACAGGCUGAUUUAUUGUUGAGACAUUUUUAUUUUGGCCUGGUCCAAAUUUCCUAAUGUAAUGUAUAAUUUACUCCUGGGUUUUAGGGAAUGCGGUGUGGUACUGUUUUGGUCCUGUUUUUUUGGUCUUGGGUUUUUCUCAUCUUAAGUCUGAUCUUUACAAUGAUGAGAUGUUUGUCGCUGUAUGUGUCCCCCUGUAUUUUCAUGGUUUCAGUAGAGGUCUUUUCCAUUUGCCAUUAGACCUAAUUACCCGCAGUACAUAUAAGUCCCAGUCUAAAUGUGUCCUGACAUUUUACUCUUUGAAGACAAGGGAUGAUUGAGGGCAACUUUUUCAUUCCCAGUGUUGCAAGAGGGCAAGUCUGAGCAUGAACUCUGCUCAUAGCUAUUGUAUUACCAAUACACUGUGUUGAUGUAGCAUUUUUUUCACACAGAAUGUCUCCCAUUAGAUGAAAACUCAGAUUUGUCUGAACCUGUCUGAAUGCAUCUCAAAGCAAAGGUUGAUUGCUUGGGCAUUUGUACCUCAUGAAUAUACAGUCAGGUCCGUCAUUAUUGGCACCCUUGAUAAAGCUGAGCAAAAAAUGCUGUAUAAAAUAUAUAAUACACGUUCUUAGCUAUAUUGUAUGCAAAACAAAUAGGGAAAUGUUAUUAUUUUAUACUAAUACAAUUUCUGAGAGAAAGAGAUUUUAUUUAAAAAGUCAUAAAAAAAAAACUCAAAAAGAUACAGGUGAAAAUGAUUGGCUCCUGUGUUUUCAAUACUCUAGCACCCUCCCCUUAUGAGGUUAAUGACACUAAAACCAGGACCAGUGGAAGCAAAAUAGCUCCAUAACAUCAAAGAUCCACCAGCAUAUUUUACCAUAGGUAUGAGGUACCUUUCUGCAUAUGCUUCCAUUUUUCAAGUCCAAACCCAUCACUGGUGUGUUUGAAAAAAGGCUAUAUUUUCAUGGCAUCUGACCAUAGCGUUGGUUUAAGUUUGAUAAACAGAAUUGGCACUUGGAUUGGAAUCGGUGCUAUGAUCAGAUGACAUGAAAGAAGAGCUUUCACCACGCACACCAAUGGUGUGUUUGGCGUUGAAAAUCAGAAGCAUAUGAAGAAAAGUACCCAAGGGGGAGGGUGCUAGAGUAUUGGAAAGAGGGGUGCCAAUCAUUUUCACAUUUUUUUUGCAUUAUUUGUUAAACCAUUCUCGUUCUCUGAGCAAUUGUAUAAAUAUGAAAUAAUAACAAAAAUAUAUAUAAUAUGACCUCUUCAAUCCAGGUCAAAGAAGUUGUAAAUCAACAGACUUGUUGAUGCAAUUAACUAUUUUUGUAGGCCCAAAUAAGUUGCAGAAUGCAUCAAUUACUUAAAUGAUGCACAACGCACCCUGCAAAGUGUAUGCUUUACACCUGUAUAAAAUUGUCAUUUAUUACUCCACAACUAUAAACUCAUUCAUUUCAAGCAUAUGAAAUCCAAUGCAUACAAUUACGUUGCUACACCGGAGACUUUGCAUUAUAGAAUUAUUACUUCCAAGAUCACUUGGGGAGAAAGAAUUACUCCUGAAAAAGAUAGCUUUCCUGCAGUCAAUGACCAAAAGCUCCCUCUGGCCUCAUAGGUGGAAUGUUAUUAAUAUGUGUUGUAAUUUAUAAUGAAUAAAGAUUAUUUCCAAAUAUGGAAAUGUUUCUAUGUCAAACAUUUAAAAAAUAUAUAUAUUUCAGUCUUCUGUGCUGUAUAUAAAGUGUAAUAUUGGAAUGCAAACUCAAAAUGUAAUAUAUUUCAACUCUAUAUCUGACAUGGUACAGGUGUUUUAUUUUUUUAAAAUUAAGUUCAUAUGUAAGGUUCUGUAUUUAUUUUCUUAGUCAGCCUUGUGUUCUGUUUCGUUGUGUUCUUGAACGUAGCCCUGUUUCUUUGUGUUCUUGAACGUAGCCCUGUCUUUCAUCUUUGUUCAUUGAUUUCACCUGUGUUAGUUACUCACCUGGUCUCAUCAGCUCCUUAUUUAGUUCAGUUCAUUCUGUUUGUGCCUUUGUGAGGUAUUGUUCGUUUAGACUCUACUAAGUCUUUCCCUAGCUCAUUUGUGCGAACCAGUUAUAGCCUUCAGUCCUAGUUUUGAUUCACCUGCCUGUUUGCCUACUUGUGUAUGACCAUUGAGUGCCUGUGACCACGAUUCCUGCCUUCUGUGAAGGUAAAAUAAACACCUGCAGUGAU